rnacentral:rRNA from 1 species
CCUACGGGAGGCAGCAGUGAGGAAUAUUGGUCAAUGGACGAGAGUCUGAACCAGCCAAGUAGCGUGAAGGAUGACUGCCCUAUGGGUUGUAAACUUCUUUUAUAUGGGAAUAAAAUGUUCCACGUGUGGGAUUUUGUAUGUACCAUAUGAAUAAGGAUCGGCUAACUCCGUGCCAGCAGCCGCGGUAAUACGGAGGAUCCGAGCGUUAUCCGGAUUUAUUGGGUUUAAAGGGAGCGUAGGUGGAUUGUUAAGUCAGUUGUGAAAGUUUGCGGCUCAACCGUAAAAUGGCAGUUGAAACUGGCAGUCUUGAGUACAGUAGAGGUGGGCGGAAGUCGUGGUGUAGCGGUGAAAUGCUUAGAUAUCACGAAGAACUCCGAUUGCGAAGGCAGUUCACUGGACUGCAACUGACACUGAGGCUCGAAAGUAUGGGUAUCAAACAGGAUUAGAUACCCUUGUAGUC